ensembl:lincRNA
ACGGAAACUCCAGGCUGAGCUUGGACUGACUUCCCUCCUAACCCGUGACAGUAGAGAGGCGGGACCAAUGGAUUCUUUUAUUGCCGCCUUUCUGUCGAACCCGAAUGUAAAGAAAGGUCGGUUGGUUUGCACUGGCCGACAAAUGGUCCAAUUGCCGUGAGAAAAGGGGCCUCUGAAUCCAGAUUGGCGUCGUCUCUACCUAUAGGGUAGACUCAGGGGCGGUGAGAACCAGCCCCGGAUGUGGGCGCGGCCCUGAGGUAGAACUGUGAGAGCCUCUACCGCGGUGGAUUGGGGAGGCGGAACUGAAAUUUUUUUCCUAAUUAUCAUGUGACGGAUUCUGGAUUUAAUGGGGGGAAAAGUGCGGAAAAGGACAAGGAUCCAAACUGGCGAAUUUCCUGAUCUUCGCGCCCGUUUCCGCUCUCCCGCCGGCGGCGUUGCCAGCCUCUGGCCAGGAAAGGAAACCAACACAGAAAAAUUACUCCUUAGGAGCAAAAAGUACUGCAGUAUGAAGCCUCUGCCAAUUAAGUAAACAAGUUUAACUGCCACUAGAUGGAUGUAAGGGGAAAGAGGUGAGUUAGGAGACUCAUACUUAAUUGUUGAAAUAAAACAGAUAUGUUCUCUUGCACCAGAAUAGCCACCAUUUAAAGUAGUAUAGAUUUGUUUAAAGUAGUAUAGAUGUUGCACAGUACAUCAAGAUUGGUUCUAAAAUACAGUUAAUUGAGCACACUAAUCUAGGGCAUUUGGCUCAUUUAGCUAAUUUCUUCACCUUUUCCUUGUUAUCUUCCUGCAUCUUUCCUUCUACCUUGCAUGUUUUUGUUCCUAUCCCUAGCACCUUCUGAUCUUUUUCUCUUUCUGUCAGGUAUCUUCUCUCAUCUUCAGUGUCAUUCCCCAUUGCCUUAUUUCUCUGUUUAUAGUCAUAAUUAAAUUCUUCCUUUCCUGAAAAUUUCUUCUUUCAGUUUCAUAUACCUCAUCUUUCAUUUUCUCUUCGCCAAAUGACUCAAAGGAAUAAAAUGUUCUCCACUGUUUCCAUUUCUGGAUCUUCUGUUUACUCCUUAACCAACUGCAUGCAGUCUCUGGCUUCUAAUUUCCCAUUCUACUUAUCCUUUUUCCAAAUGGUCAUAAAGAUUGGUAUAAUAAACUUGAAUAAGCAGAGGAACAUGUCAUAAACCUAUAUGUGAAGAUUAAAUGUAAUAAAUGCUAUCCCUAAGUUUUAUGCAUUCACAAUCAAAAUUCCAAGUUUUUAAAAAUCAGCUUAGCAAAUUCAGCAUUAGCGCAAAAUAGAAAAUAUUCUAUACCUGAAUGGAACCUUAGAGGAAAAAAGCAGAAAAUAUUCUAGAAGAGAGGCCGACACUUUGGGAGGCCGAGGUGGGUGGGUCACCUUAGGUCAGGAGUUCAAGACCAGCCUGGCCAACUUGGUGAAACCCUGUCUUACUAAAAAAUGCUGAAAAUUAGCCGGGCUUAAUGGUGAGCACCUGUAAUCCCAGCUACUCAGGAGGCUGAGACAGGAGAAUCACUUGAACCUGGGAGGCGGAGGUUGCAGUGAGCUGAGAUUUUGCCAUUGCACUCCAGCCUGGGCAACAAGAGCGAAACCCCAUCUCAAAAAAAAAAAAAAAACUAUGCCACAAAUCAGUGAGAGUAUUGUUAAAAGAAAAAAAUGUAUUAUAUAUCAGGGAAAGGUAUAUUUGUAAGAAUUU